UCCAAGAAUAGAAUGCAAAAGAUUUUAAUACAUAUUAUAUACAAUGCUUAUGUCUAAAAUGUCACAUGUAGAAUAAUAAUGAAAAGAAAAAUUUAAAAUAAUGAAGUCUUUAAAAAUGCAUGAGAAAUUUAUUUUAGAAACAUUAUUUUAGAUUUUUACAACGCAUUUAUUUUCUUGCUUAAUUGUGUUCUAAUAAUGUGCACCACAAAUGCUGCCUAGUUAGGCACCUCAGUAGGGUUUGAGACGCAGCCAGUGUUUACGAAUGUUUCAAAAUCUCAUCAACAGAGUGCCAACCAACGCAAGCAUUCCUGAUCUCAGGAAUGUCUGUAAACUGCGCGACCACCCUCUCGUUACAGGAAAGACGAAGCGCGUGAUGCGAGAGAACAGGACAGUGAAGAGUUAACCAUUACCGCUGUCUUUGGGGAGAUGGUGAUGUAAACCCUAAACCAUGUGACACUUUAAUAAAUUCAUAGCGCCGACAGAAACAAACACACACUGUUCCAUCGACAGCCGAACAAAACAGCAUUCUCCACAUCUAAACAAAGAUUGCAGAGGGGAAAGAGUCAAGCGAGAGCGCGCCCAGAGAGCGGAGAGGAUGUGCUGUCUGCCGGUCGAGCAGACUUUAGACGCGCUCGGAGAUCCCGUUUGCGCGCACCGACUGCGCUGGAUCGGAGACCAGCUGGAGAAGAGAUGGGCUGCAAACGACAAAAGCGCCGACGGUGGAAGACGAAGCGGCGGGGAAAGCAUCAUCAAAAGCUUCCACAUAGUGUGCACAGUCAUUCAAGUAACGCUUCUGGUGUUUUUAGUCAAAAAGCGACACCUGUAGGUGAGACGAGGCUCUGCUGAUCUACAGCAGCAACAGCAACAGAUGAAUCUUUGGAUUCUCCUGGGAUGAUCCGCUCCAGAUUUAGCUGAGAAGAAUAGGUGCCGGUCACGUCUGUCUCAUCCAUGUAGAUCACAGCAUUUACAGUAGUGUUGUAACGGAAACACCAGAUACAUCUGUGCUGUACAUUCCCAGCGUGCUGAUAGCUUUUCAUAACGACCAAUGCUUCAUCCCGAAGUCUUCUCGAUUACCGAAACACUGCGAGCCGAUCUCAUUUGGUACACAUUUGCUUGGUUAGAAGUCUUGAGGUCAGUGCAGACAAACCCCGCAGUGUCCCCUGGGAAACCUUUCAAAAUAAAAGGCUGAUGUCAUUGUCCCUUGGCGUCUGCAAGGACAUUUUUCUACCACUAUGACAAUAGGAGCCUUGCCUCAACUUCGGAGAGCUUACAGUUGAGUUUUAGUCAUUGUUGGUAAAAGUUGAGAGGGUGCUAUAGAUAUGCAAAAGCUGAUUAAAACACGAUCAAUCGAGGUCAGUCUUCAGAGGAGAGCUUCCAAAAACACUGCUACCAAAACCUCUCCUCUGCAUGACGCACUGUAAGAUUUAGUUAUAAGCUACUGUAAGUGACUAUGCCAUUCGCUAUCUGAGCUGUGACUUUGUUUUGUUUUUGUUGUUUUUAAUGAGAUAUUUAUUGUUCUGAACACUGUACUCUUCUCAAUGGAAAGCAUAUUUAUACUGUAGAAUGAUUUGAAGUGUAUUUGACCUGGAAGACAAAUCAUUUUUUAGUCUUUUUAUAAAGGGCUUCUUGCUUGAUUGUUUGUGUCAGUGUUAAUACAGAAAUGUGACAUGAAUGAGAUUUGACGCGAAAUGUGACUCAAAGGGCAUGCUACUGAUGUUUACAUAAGCUACAAUCUUUUACUACUGUGUGUUUUAAACAUGUUUUACCUCUGCUAUUUUGAUAUUGUGAUUUUUGUCAUUUAUGGAAAUAAAAGGGUUUACAUAUA